AUGAUAGUAGCAGGGAGAGACUGCGUGAACCACUGCAGCGCCGAAGGAGCAAGCCGGUAACGGUGAAUCUCUCAGGCAAAAGAACCUCUACUGGACG
rfam:Brevibacillus parabrevis strain CN1 contig_11, whole genome shotgun sequence.